UUCCACCGCGGAAGACGAAGUGGCUAAGCUACAAGCUACCGUGAGCACCUUGCAGGCUAAAAAUAAAUCGAUGGAGGACAAACUCAUGGACUUGGAAACAAGGUCUCGCUUGAAUAACUUAAGGCUCGUGAAUUUGCCAGAAGGUGCCGAAGGUUCAGAUUUCUGUGCUUUUUUAGAAGUGGAUACCGGGGCGUUGGGGAUCGAGGCGCUGCAACCCUCAGUGGGCUUGGAAAGAGCUCACAGAUUGGGCCCGGAGCAGACGGCGCUGCCCGACCGAGAGCCUGAUGAUGAACUUCCUCAACUACCGAGAAAGGCAAGCCGUCAUUGGAGCUGCACGGGAAAAAGGACGUCUUCUACAAGGAACGACGGGUCCGCUUCUACCCCGACCUGGCCACCGGGCUUCACCAGCUGAGGAAAAAGUUCGGUCCGAUCCGGGAGGAGCUGCGUAAAUUGGGCAUUGGCAAUGGAGCAACUCAGCCUGCAACACUUUUAGUGACUUAUGAAAACAAAACACCUGGGGAAGCAAGUGAGUUUCUCAAGAAAAUUCAAGAGAGCUCAGGACACACAGAGCACUGAGUAAAGAACGACGGUAUGUAAAGUAAAGUACCAAAUAACUAAAUUUAUUAUAUGACAUCUUACAGUUCGCGCGUAUCCAUACAGUAUCUAUACAGUAUACAUACAGUAUCUAUACAGUAUACAUACAGUAUCUAUACAGUAUCCAUACAGUAUCCAUACAGUAUACAUACAGUAUCUAUACAGUAUACAUAUUCCUCUUUGCAUUUCAGUGCUUGUUAUAUAUUUAUGUUCCUAAGUUUGUUACAUAUCUGCGUUCCUAAUUUUGUAACAAUAAGCAUUUAAAUGUAAAAUGGUCCUUUAAAAGGUUUUUAAAUUUCAGUGGUAAAAAAUGUUAUUUAGCAGCAACGGGGGUAUUUUCUCCAGAAUAGGCCAAGAGUGGUUCUGCUGAUCCUCACUGGUUGUGGGUUGGUUCCUGGCCAUAAGGGGAGUCUAAAGGAUAUGGUGGGACUCUCCCAGUUUGGGGAAGGAAAAUGGUAGAAGGGUUUGGUUUGUGUGUUGUGUGUUGGAUGUGUGUUCUGACAUCCGGUUUUGUUGUGUCUCACAUUUUUAUAAGGUUAAGCAACCCGCUACUUUUGUUACUUUAUGCCUCAAAUCGUAAAAUUUAAUUUUAUUUCAUGGAACUGCAGGGGUCUUCAACGCCUCCAAAAAGUAAAGCAAGUGAUGAAUAGAUUGAAAGAAAUGGACUCUAAAAUUGUAUUUCUUCAGGAAACGCAUCUUCUUGAUGAGAACAACUUAAAGGUUAGGAGGAGGUGGAGGGGCAAUUUAUAUACACGGCACCGUUUGCCUCCCAUUCUAGAGGAGUUAUAACUCUAAUACAUGAAUCAGUGCCACUGCAAAUUAAAAACAUUAUUAAAGAUAAAAGAGGAAGGUACCUAAUACUCCAAGGCUCCCGAAUGUCAGAAACUCUAAUUUUAACUAAUAUAUAUGGACCCAAUGUGGAUGACAGUAAUUUUUACAAUGAUUUAUUCCUCACCCUGUCAACGCUUAAAGGAUCACACAUAAUGGGGGGGGGGACUUUAAUUGUGCAUUAAAUCCAAACAUGGAUAGAUCAACCGGACUAGAUCAGUCGCAUAACAACUGUAGAGCUGCAGUUCAUAGAAUGAUGAAGGAGUUGAAGUUACUGGAUGUUUGGAGAGAAAAACCAGCUAAUAAAACAUACUCCUGCUAUUCAAGUACUUUUAAAACCCACUCCAGAACAGACUAGUUUUUAAUUUCUACAGAGUUGCAGUUUAAAUUCAAGAUUGUUACUAUGACAAUAUUGUAAUUUCAGAUCAUCUCCGUGUUGUUUGGUUUAUAAAGAUGAUAAAUUAAAGAGAGACCCGCCAAGAUGGCAAUUUCAACAUAAAUGGUUACAAGACGAAAACUUUGUGAAAUAUUUAGGAACACAAAUUGAUCCAAAUUAAUACUACAGAAACAACAGCAAGUAUAAAAUGGGAAGCAUUUAAGGCCUUCCUUAGAGGACAUAUUAUUAGUUAUACAGGGUCUAAAACAAAC